CGUGGUCCUUUAGUUGGAUCCCAACCACUAGGUGCAUCUGUAUUAUUAACCUUAACAGUCACACUCAGCGCAGAUGUUCUCUAUGUUAUGGGUGUAUUCUUCCUUAUGUCUGCAGUGAAGAACAAAGAAAGUUCCUACUAAAAGUCUGAAUGAAAAGGCCGUAUUCCAGGUUGUGUGUGUUUGUCAUUUUUGUCCUAGUUUGUCCUGCUGAGUCUGGAGGGAAAGGAAACCACAUUUUCUACCAGAACAGGACGGAUUAUUUCCGUGCUGGAGAGGACACUCUGUAACCUUUGUGUUUAUCACUCAGUAAUCGAAUGGGAGAAUUGCAAGAGCAGCAGCACCACCACAGGGCCUGGGAGUGUUGUGAAAUCAUUCAUACAGCCGGCCGGCACACAGACACACACACGCACACAUUCAUUUGCUUGCUCCGGUGACAGAUGUUCAUGCCUAGAGAAAAGGAAACAAGCUGUUUAAGUUACAGAAUUAUGUCAUAAAGCCCCUUUUUGUAUCCAGAUUCCAGUGGCCCUUGAUUUUUGUUCUUCAUAAUUAAUUCAGCGUUCCUGGAUCAUUUGAUGAAGUCAGACAUUCAUCCAGGCUAAGACCUGUUUGAGAAAGAACAUUCUGCAGUUAUCAUUUUUUUUAGGAUAUGUAUUUAGUAGUAGGAUAAACCUUUUGUAAUCUUGCACCUGAUUAACUUUGACAGAGAAUGCAGUUAUUGGGGAAGAAUGUCUGAAUAUGAUGCAUCCAAUGAGUCAAACUGGUCUUAUUGAUCAGUGAUGUUAGAUUUUAGCCAAACUUCUGAGAAGAUUUAAAAUCUCAGAGGUUGUGUCAGAGUCCAUGCCCCGCUGCUGAGAGGACACAGGUUUAUCUGUGUUUCUCUGUCUAUUUCUACAAUGUCUAGACCAAUGGCCUGAUUUCCCACAUCUGUGACAAUUUGAAUGUGUGGGUGCAUCCUGUCUUCUUUGCUGAUAACUAUUGUGAGAGGGUACGUCCUGUACUGCAGCUAUGUGUUGUGUUUGUUCUUUACGUUUAGUCAGUGAUUCUUUAGUUUGUUCACUCUGUCCUGUAUCUUUACGGACAGAGCCCUUACAAAGUGUUAGUUGUGGCAGUGUGUCAGAGAGUGUGAUAAUCUCUGCCUGAUGGGCCAUUGGGGCUUCAGCCGCCGUGGUGAAGUGGGGGCUGUUCCAUACGGGACCUGAGGUGUGAGUUGAAUGUUAUGUGUAAUGACUGUCUGUAUAGAUAUGGACAGGAGCGACAAAUGGUGAGGGAACGACUGUAGGUACAUCAAUAUUCAUUACAGCAACAAUUUGGAGAGAUAUUUCCUCAACCUGUGAAAUGGCUUUACCCACACUGACCAUUAGUUCAGUUUUUAGCUUGGCAUAAUCUGCUUUACCUCUAGGAUUUUUUACAUCAGUAGGUAGGAUUUUUCCCAGUAAACUUUUAACAAUUUCCUGAAGUUUGUCAGCAUUCUGUU
rnacentral:lncRNA from 1 species